rnacentral:rRNA from 1 species
UACGGAGGAUGCAAGCGUUAUCCGGAUUUAUUGGGUUUAAAGGGUGCGCAGGUUGUUUGAUAAGUCAGUGGUGAAAGUCUGUCGCUUAACGGUAGGAUUGCCAUUGAUACUGUUGGACUUGAAUAUGGAUGAGGUAGGCGGAAUGUGUAGUGUAGCGGUGAAAUGCUUAGAUAUCACGAGGAACUCCGAUUGCGCAGGCAGCUUACUAAACUACUACUGACGCUCAGGCACGAAGGCGUGGGGAUCAAACAGGAUUAGA